rnacentral:rRNA from 1 species
AACAGCUACUGUAUAUCACCCUGCAGCUCUCAACUGGCUACCCACUGAAGCUCAGCAGGGUUGAGCCUGGUCAGUACCUGGAUGGGAGACCUCCUGGGAAGCUAUGGUUGCUGCUGGAA